UACGGAGGGCGCGAGCGUUGUCCGGAAUCACUGGGCGUAAAGGGCGCGUAGGCGGCCCUGGUAAGUCUGCGGUGAAAGCCCGGGGCUCAACCCCGGGUCGGCCGCGGGUACUGCCGGGCUGGAGUGCCGUAGGGGCAGGCGGAAUUCCGGGUGUAGCGGUGGAAUGCGUAGAGAUCCGGAGGAACACCGGUGGCGAAGGCGGCAUCCUGGACCAACACUGACGCUGAGGAGCGAAAGCCAGGGGAGCAAACGGG
rnacentral:rRNA from 1 species